rnacentral:rRNA from 1 species
UCAAGCGAAGAAGGGCGCAGGGCGGAUGCCUUGGCACUGAGAGCCGAUGAAAGACGUGAUAAGCUGCGAUAAGCUUCGGGGAGGAGCAAAUAUCCUUUGAUCCGGAGAUCUCUGAAUGGGGAAACCCGGCUGUAUGGACUACAGUCAUCCAUAAGUGAAUCCAUAGCUUAUGGAAGGGAACCCGGGGAACUGAAACAUCUAAGUACCCGGAGGAAGAGAAAGAAACAUUCGAUUCCGUAAGUAGCGGCGAGCGAACGCGGAAGAGCCCAAACCGUGAUGCGUGCAUCGCGGGGUUCGGACUGCAUAAGGGAUUCAGUAACGGCAGGAGAACGGCUUUGGAACAGCCGGCCAGAGAGGGUGAGAGCCCCGUAUCCGAAGCCAGAGCUGACCCGGCAGGAUCCAGAGUACCACGGGACACGGGAAACCCUGUGGGAACGAGCGGAGACCACUCCGUAAGGCUAAAUACUACUCAGUGACCGAUAGCGUAUAGUACUGUGAAGGAAAGGUGAAAAGAACCCCGGGAGGGGAGUGAAAGAGAACCUGAAACCCUGUGUCUACAAGCUGUGGAAGUACUUCUUAAGUACGACCGCGUACUUUUUGUAGAACGGUCCGGCGAGCUGCGGGUACUGGCAAGGUUAAGCACUUCAGGUGCGGAGCCGCAGGGAAACCAAGUCUUAAGAGGGCGUUUUAGUCAGUACGUGCAGGCCCGAAACCGGGUGACCUAUCCAUGUCCAGGUUGAAGCCGCCGUAAAAGGCGAUGGAGGACCGAACCCACAUCCGUUGAAAAGGGUGGGGAUGAGGUGUGGAUAGCGGAGAAAUUCCAAUCGAACCCGGAGAUAGCUGGUUCUCCUCGAAAUAGCUUUAGGGCUAGCCUCAUACAAGUCUGCCGGAGGUAGAGCACUGAAUUUCCGCGGGGGCGUCAAAGCCUACCAAAGAAUAUCAAACUCCGAAUGCCGGACAGAUGGUGUAUGGGAGUCAGACUGUACGAGAUAAGUUGGACAGUCAAAAGGGAAAGAGCCCAGACCGCCGGCUAAGGUCCCAAAGUGGGUGUUAAGUGGAAAAGGAUGUGGGAUCUCUAAGACAACCAGGAUGUUGGCUCAGAAGCAGCCAUUCAUUAAAAGAGUGCGUAACAGCUCACUGGUCGAGAGGUCCUGCGCCGAAAAUGUCCGGGGCUGAAACACCACACCGAAGCCGCGGAACCCGUAAGGGUUGGUAGAGGAGCAUUCUUAGGGGAGUGAAGCAUUACCGGAAGGGGAUGUGGACCGCUAAGAAGAGAGAAUGCCGGAAUGAGUAGCGAGAGCAAGGUGGGAAUCCUUGCGGCCGAAUAUCCAAGGUUUCCAGAGUAAAGCUGAUCUGCUCUGGGUAAGUCGGGGCCUAAGGAGAGGCAGAGAUGCGUAUCCGAUGGACAGCAGGUUUAAGAUUCCUGCACCCCUUGUUAUCAGAACUGCGGGGACACGGGAAGGGAAGCAGAGCCGGGAAUGGAAAGCCCGGUGCAAGCGAAGUAGUCGCAGGGUUGGAAAAUCCGCCCUGCAUGAGACGAAGGCGUGAUGCGGAGCGAAAUGAAGUAGUGAAGCUGCGGCCCCUUCCUGUCGAGAAAAGCCGCUAUCGUGUAGCAAGGGCCCGUACCGUAAACCGACACAGGUGGAUGAGGAGAGGAUCCUAAGGCCGGCGGGAGAAGUGUUGUUAAGGAACUCGGCAAAAUGACUCCGUAACUUCGGGAGAAGGAGUGCUGCGCAAGCAGCCGCAGAGAAAUGGCCCAAGCAACUGUUUAGCAAAAACACAGGUCUAUGCGAAACCGGAAGGUGAGGUAUAUGGGCUGACGCCUGCCCGGUGCUGGAAGGUUAAGGGGAGAGCUUAGCGCGAGCGAAGGUUUGAACUUAAGCCCCAGUAAACGGCGGCCGUAACUAUAACGGUCCUAAGGUAGCGAAAUUCCUUGUCGGGUAAGUU